CCUACGGGGGGCUGCAGUUUCGAAUCAUUCACAAUGGGCGAAAGCCUGAUGGUGCGACGCCGCGUGAGGGAUGAAGGCCUUCGGGUUGUAAACCUCUGUCACUGGGGAAGAAACGCUUCAAGUUAAUAGCUUGAAGCCUGACUUAACCCAGAGAGGAAGCAGUGGCUAACUCUGUGCCAGCAGCCGCGGUAAUACGGAGACUGCGAGCGUUAUUCGGAUGCAGUGGGCGUAGAGUGUUCGGUGUGGGCGCCCGGGGCUUAACCUCGGAAUUGCGCCUAAAACUACACGGCUAGAGCAUUGGAGAGGGUAGCGGAAUUCACGGUGUAGCAGUGAAAUGCGUAGAUAUCGUGAGGAACACCAGAGGCGAAGGCGGCUACCUGGACAAUUGCUGACGCUCAGGCACGAAAGCGUGGGGAGCAAAAGGGAUUAGAUACCCCAGUAGUC
rnacentral:rRNA from 1 species